rnacentral:misc_RNA from 1 species
GGAAAAACAGGGAGGAACCAUCUGGGGUUGAAGAUGAUGAGGUUGAUGCUGCUAUGGGGUAUAGGGGUAUAAAGGCUGCUGCUACUAAAGCAAUUGAACAAUCGAAUUCGGUGGAACAGGAACCAGGCAAAACUUUCUCAACCAGUAAAUCCAAAGUGUUGAAGAUCUUGACCUACAAUGUGUGGUUUGCAGAUAUAGAGAUGAACAAGAGGAUGAAAGCCAUAGGCAACCUUAUUUCGCUGCAUAAGCCAGAUGUUAUAUGUUUUCAGGAGGUUACUCCAGAAAUAUAUGACAUCUUUCAGCACUCU